GCUUUUUUGUUUUCCAAAGGCUUUUUUCCUUACCGUGGCUCUUUCUUCCAAUAUUUCACCAGGAGCUCUCAAAGUCCCACCUCUCCCAUGAAGCUUCCUAAUGAAAUCACAUCUGAGUUUUCUACAUGCCAGAUGCUAUUCUAAGUCUUUUUAAGUAUUAAUUCAUAAUCCUUAUGAAAUUCUUAUGAGCAAAGUGUUGUGAUUGCCAUUUUAGAAAUGAAGAGCUGAAGUACAAAGAGAUUCUAUAAUUUGUCAAAGAUUACAAAGCCUUGGAAUUUGAAGCCAGGAAGCAGCUCAGGAGCCAUGCUCUAAACCACUUUGGAACACUGCCCCUCAAUAAAAGAGCAUUUAUGAAUUUUCUCUUUUCAUCUCCUUUUUAAGAGAGACUUACCAGCCCUUCGCAUCAAAAGAUCACAGAGAAGCAAAGAGAUAGAAAAUAUGAAAGAGAAGUUAAGAGACAUAGACAUAGAGGACAGAACAAAAAGGCAGUAUACAUCUAAUCCACGUCCCAGAAAGAGAGUACAUGGGACAGAAGCAAUUUAAAGAAAAAUGGCUGAGAAUUUUCCAGAACUGAUCAAAGACCAAUCCCCUUGUCUCUGAAGCCCAACAAAUCCCAAACAAGAUAAAUAUGAAUCCACUAGAAAAACAUGGUGCUGAAACUGUCAUUCACCAAAGGUAAAGAGAUGAUACUAAAAGCAAUCAGAAAUUAAAGAAAAAACAAAAAACUAGUUACCAACAAAGAAACCAAGUAUUAGAAGUACAGCUGACUUAACAGUGAUGAAGUCAAAAGAGAAUUAAAUGUUAUCUUCAAUAACAGAAACUAUCAACCAAUAUAUACACCCAGUGAAAGUAUCUUACAAGAAUGAAGGCAAUAAAAGAAUUUUCAGAUAAAAAAAAAAAUGAGUUGGACAUGAAGCAGAACUAUACUGUAAAGAAAUUCCUAAAAGAUGAAUGUCAGACGGAAGGAAAUUCCCAGAUGAAAGAUCUAUGAUGCAAGAAAAAAUAAGCACAAAGCAAUAACUGUAUGAAAACACACAUUGUCUGUACACUGGACAAUCACAUCAUGAGUUGGAAGGGAGAAAGAAAAAAUCUAGAUGGACUUUCUAUC